UGAAGUUAAAGGCUGUGGNUUAACCAUAGUACGCUUUGGAAACUGUUUAACUUGAGUGCAGAAGGGGAGAGUGGAAUUCCAUGUGUAGCGGUGAAAUGCGUAGAUAUAUGGAGGAACACCGGUGGCGAAAGCGGCUCUCUGGUCUGUAACUGACGCUGAGGCUCGAAAGGGUGGGGAGCGAACAGGAUUAGAUACCCUGGUAGUNCACGCCGUAAACGAUGAGUGCUAGGUGUUAGGCCCUUUCCGGGGCUUAGUGCCGCAGCUAACGCAUUAAGCACUCCGCCUGGGGAGUACGACCGCAAGGUUGAAACUCAAAGGAAUUGACGGGGGCCCGCACAAGCGGUGGAGCAUGUGGUUUAAUUCGAAGCAACGCGAAGAACCUUACCAGGUCUUGACAUCCCGAUGCCCGCUCUAGAGAUAGAGUUUUACUUCGGUACAUCGGUGACAGGUGGUGCAUGGUUGUCGUCAGCUCGUGUCGUGAGAUGUUGGGUUAAGUCCCGCAACGAGCGCAACCCUUAUUGUUAGUUGCCAUCAUUCAGUUGGGCACUCUAGCGAGACUGCCGGUAAUAAACCGGAGGAAGGUGGGGAUGACGUCAAAUCAUCAUGCCCCUUAUGACCUGGGCUACACACGUGCUACAAUGGCUGGUACAACGAGUCGCAAGUCGGUGACGGCAAGCUAAUCUCUUAAAGCCAGUCUCAGUUCGGAUUGUAGGCUGCAACUCGCCUACAUGAAGUCGGAAUCGCUAGUAAUCGCGGAUCAGCACGCCGCGGUGAAUACGUUCCCGGGCCUUGUACACACCGCCCGUCACACCACGAGAGUUUGUAACACCCGAAGUCGGUGAGGUAACCUUUUAG
rnacentral:rRNA from 1 species